AUGAAUAUGAUGCCUAAAAUGAAAGUCCACACACAGCACCAGACAAGUAUCCAUAGCUAAUUCUCUUAGAACAUUCCCCGUCUAUACUUAACCCCAUAAAUCUCUUCUUUCUCCACCACUAUUUUUCUCAGUUUCUUAUUUUCUUUGUUUUUUAAAGAGAAAACUUCAUCUGAUCUGGCAGAGAAUGACAAACCUGUACACCCAACACUCUCUGAAUGGCCUUGGAGAUAGAGCGCAAAAUGGAAGACUAAGGCCCACUUGUUUAACUUUUAGAGACUGGAAUUAUGGGAUAGAAUGGGCUUCUAAGAAUGAUUAUGUAUGGAGCAUGGUAAAGGCCAAUAUGGAAAUAAAUGCAUAAUUGGACCGUGAAGGAAAUAAAAACAGGCCCUGAAUUAA